AAAGAAUUAGUUAAAAUAUAACCUUAGUAUGUCAUACUAAAAAUACUAGUAUUAAUCUAGUAUUCUUUA
rnacentral:tRNA from 1 species